rnacentral:rRNA from 1 species
AUUGAACGCUGGCGGCAGGCCUAACACAUGCAAGUCGAACGGUAACAGGAAGCAGCUUGCUGCUUCGCUGACGAGUGGCGGACGGGUGAGUAAUGUCUGGGAAACUGCCUGAUGGAGGGGGAUAACUACUGGAAACGGUAGCUAAUACCGCAUAACGUCGCAAGACCAAAGAGGGGGACCUUCGGGCCUCUUGCCAUCGGAUGUGCCCAGAUGGGAUUAGCUAGUAGGUGGGGUAACGGCUCACCUAGGCGACGAUCCCUAGCUGGUCUGAGAGGAUGACCAGCCACACGGGAACUGAGACACGGUCCAGACUCCUACGGGAGGCAGCAGUGGGGAAUAUUGGACAAUGGGCGCAAGCCUGAUCCAGCCAUGCCGCGUGUGUGAAGAAGGCCUUCGGGUUGUAAAGCACUUUCAGCGAGGAGGAAGGGUUAGUCGUUAAUAGCGGCUAAUUUUGACGUUACUCGCAGAAGAAGCACCGGCUAACCCUGUGCCAGCCGCCGCGGUAACAC